rnacentral:ncRNA from 1 species
CCCGCUGUACCUAAACCUAUCACAAAGCAUAGGAAAUGAAACAAACCAGUAACGGCGAGUAACGUGGGAAUAGCCCAGCACCAAAACAUGUGGUAAGUUGACUGCUGGGCAAUUUGAUGAUUGGAUUGACUUGUGGGAUUGCCACUCCACUCGAAGUGUAGCACUGAGUAUGGUUCCCUGGAUUUGGACAAUAGAGCAUGAAAGGCCUAGGCGAGUAGAGGUUCAGACAUGUGAGGCUAUUCACCAAGUCAACCAUUUGGGUCGGGUUGCUUGUAAAUGCAGCUGAAACUGGAUGGACGUUAUUGGCGGUUGUUCGGUCGCAGGCUCCCCUGGGGUCGUGGUCAUAAUUUCGAUCAUCAAAGGCAAAUUCAGGUAGCAGCGGGUGCAGGCAUUCGCAUGCACACGUGCUGUCGAGCACUGGUUGUCAAAGGGUCUAUUUCUCGGUUGUUAUUAAGCAGUCGCCAGCAGAUGUGCUGGUGGGCCUCGGUGGUAGGAACAACUGUGCAGGUCACCAUACCUGUCUGUAUCUAGUUUCUGGCUCGUGCGCACACUGAAUGUGGGCGUGGUUAUGUUGCUGUGGGCUGCCAAUUGCUUUAUCUGAUCGUCGUUUUGCCUGUGCAAAGUGUGUCUGGCAGUGGUCCGGCAGUGGUUUGGUGUUGUUUGGUCUUUCAUGUGGCGCCUUCUGUACGAGACGCAGUGGGCCUAACAACCUGUGGUAUUGCGGUAGAUACGCUACCCGAUUCGUCUUGAAAUAUGAACCAGGGAGUUUAUCAUGCAUGCAAGUCAAUCGAUCCCACGAAACCCAAAGGCGCAGUGAAAGUGAAGGCUCGACUUGUUCUCGGGAUGACGUGAGACAUCACUGUUUCUCGUACAUCGUCUUGCGUGUACAGUACCAGGCACAAGAGCAAUGGUCAAAUCACCAGCCCGACCCACGUUGUGGUCGUUGAAAAGUUGUGGUUAGUUCUGCGAUCAGCAGUCGAGCUGGUGCGUCAUCGUGACGGAGCACGAGCGUGCGCGAUAAGACCCGAAAGAUGGUGAUUUAUGCUUGCGUAGUUUGAAGCCAGAGGAAACUCUGGUGGACGAUCACAGCCAUUCCGACGUACAAAUCGAUCGUCAAACGUGAGUAAAGCGGCAAAGGGCUAAUCGAAUCAUCUAGUAGCUGAUUCCCUCUGGUGUUUCUCUCAGUAUAGCGGGCACUCAUUCGUGAGAUUAGUUAUAUCAGGUAAAGCGAAUGAUUAGAGGUACUAAUUUUGAAAUGAACUAACCCUUUUUUAAACUUUAAAUGGGUGAGAUGCCUGACUCGCUUUUCAUGAGUCGGGCACUGAAUGUGAGCGUGCCAAGUGGACCAUUUUUUGAAAGCAGAACUGAUGCUUUGGAAUAAACAAAUAUUCCGGUUAAGGUGCCUAACGCUGACGCUCAUGAGAUACCCCAGAAGGUGUCGGGUUUUAUAUACAGCAGGACGGUGGCCAUGGAAAUGGGCAUCCGCUAAGGAGUGUGUAACAACUCACUUGCCGAAUUGACCAGCACCGAAAAUAGAUGGCACUUGAGCGUUAUACCUAUACCAGGCCAUCACUGCAAGCAGGAUCGCUUGCUACUUUUAGUAGUGUGAGCAGCACUUGGCCAGUUUCAUGAACAACAGUCGGUCGCUCUCUUGUGAAAUCAUGAUCCAGGCCAGCAGUUGGUGACGAAUAUGAGGGUAACUGUGGUGACCGUGGAAGCUGGGACGUGAGUCUGGGUGGAGCCACCAUGGAUGCAAAUCAUGGUGGUAGUAGCAAAUAUUCAACUGAGAACCUUGCAAGCGGAGGUGGAGAAGGGUUCCAUGGUAACAGCAGUGAGCCAUCGGCCAGGUGGUCCUUAACGAUCCAACGUCUCAGUAUAGAAACGUUGGGUGCCUUGCAUACUUCUGUCUGUGUGUGUGUGUGUGCGCGUGCAUAUGGCAGCCCCUCGGAGCGAAAGCGAAUGGGGUUAAUAUUCCCGACCCUGCCCACAAAGAUAUGCAAAGGUUUGGCUACGCCUUCAGUGUUUGCGCUUUUUCGGCGUAUGCAGCUGUGGUUCGUUUCUGGGCGCUGAUAAUCAUGGUAACGCAACUGAACUCGGAGACAUUGGCUGAAGAUCCAGUAAGAGUUUUCUUUUUUGUAAGUAGUACUAACCACCUCGUGAAUAAUGCUGUCCGGAGAUGGAUGAAUCACCUGCAUUAAGUACGACUCCUAUGUGAUGGCUGUAAAACUCUGGUCGGUCCAUAAAAAUCCGAGGGAGUCAUUAUCAUUUUCGUGGCAGGUUAACACAUAUCCGCAUCAGGUCAUCUAGUUAAAAAGCCUCUGGAA